rnacentral:rRNA from 1 species
ACACGACUACAUUAGAUACCCCCGUAGUCCUAGCCGUAAACGAUACUCGCUAGGUGUCGGCCACGGUGCGACCGUUGUCGGUGCCGUAGGGAAGCCGUGAAGCGAGCCACCUGGGAAGUACGGCCGCAAGGCUGAAACUUAAAGGAAUUGGCGGGGGAGCACAACAACGGGUGGAGCUUGCGGUUUAAUUGGAUUCAACGCCGGAAAUCUUACCGGGACCGACAGCAACAUGAAGGCCAAUCUGAAGACUUUGCCGGAUUAGCUG